UCUCUGGGUGUUCAGGACCAUGGUCCCCCGGA
rnacentral:piRNA from 1 species